rnacentral:rRNA from 1 species
GAUGAACGCUAGCGGCAGGCUUAAUACAUGCAAGUCGAGGGACAGCACAGGUAGCAAUACUGGGUGGUAACCGGCAAACGGGUGCGGAACACGUACACAACCUUCCUUUAAGUGGGGAUCGCCCCGAGAAAUUUGGAUUAAUACCCCGUAAUAUAGUUGAAUGGCAUCAUUUGAUUAUUAUAGCUACGGCGCUUAAUGACGGGUGUGCGGCUGAUUAGAUAGUUGGCGGGGUAACGGCCCACCAAGUCUACGAUCAGUAGCUGAUGUGAGAGCAUGAUCAGCCACACGGGCACUGAGACACGGGCCCGACUCCUACGGGAGGCAGCAGUAAGGAAUAUUGGUCAAUGGACGCAAGUCUGAACCAGCCAUGCCGCGUGAAGGAUUAAGGUCCUCUGGAUUGUAAACUUCUUUUAUUUGGGACGAAAAAGGGCCUUUCUAGGUCAACUGACGGUACCAGAUGAAUAAGCACCGGCUAACUCCGUGCCAGCCGCCGCCGUAAGAC